ensembl:antisense
GUUCUGCUCUGGACUGACGCCGGUGAGGAACACGGAACAAACGAGGCUAGGGGAAGCCAGGAACCGGGAGGUUCCGCCCCAGGCUCUCGGGCCACAGACGGAAAAAGGAAGGGGGCGCGAGCCUGGCACCAGCGUCCGAGGCAGGGCGGGGCCCGGCAGCGCUCGGACCCGGGGCGCGAACGCACGCCAGUCCACGACCGCCGCCCCCGCCAGGCCUGACCGAUCCUCCCGCAGCCCUCCGGCUGUGCCGCAGCCAGGCCCGCUCCCCCGGCCGCGCUCACCCCGGAGGAAGCCGCGGCCCCCUCGUCCUCUUUGCCCCUCCAGGCCGGCGACGUGGGGCUGACGGCCAGGUCGCAGAAAACGGCGCCGGGCUGAGCCCGCUGCCCUUGGUCGGCUGUGGAGACGGGGCCCAGCUUUUCCCGGACGGUCUCAGUUGCAGUCCGGGCGGCAGCAGCUGACCCGGAUUCAGUGCUUACGCCCCGGCGGAAGUGACCACCUCCGGACCGGCGCCGGGCGCGGCCGAGGGAGGAAGCGGGGGCGGGGCGUUUUCCUAAAAAUCCUCGGCGGGUUUCCUCUCUGCGCAUGCGCAGCCGUGAGCGCUUCUGUCCCGGGCCAGCUAAGGCUUUGGCUUGUGGCUGGCGGGGGAGGAGGUGGGCGUUGCUUUCUAAGGCUCUCCCACUUAACGUUACUGUAGGGACCUAACCUCGCUGUCUGAAAGGGCUAUUCGUUUCUCUCUGUUUUCCUUUACUUGUCAUUAUGUUAACUACGUUACAAAGUGAAUGAAAAGGGGGUGAAAAAUAGUCGAUGUCUUAUGUACGAUAGCCAGGUCCUAGAAGAAUCUACUUUGAUAGAAUUUUCCGACGUGAAUAGCUUUUCUCUCCAGUCAUGCUUCUGAGAGUAGUAAGUGCCCCUCCUCCUCCCCAGACUCUUGUCUUGUGUUCCGGGUUGGCCUUGAAUUCCUUCCAGUGUAUCUGAAAUAACCUUGAAAACUAAUUUUCCUGCCCCAGUCUCCAGAGAGCUGAGAUUAUCAACAUGAUUGUUACCACAUUGUGGCAGAGACAGAGACAACAUAGGGCUUCCUGACUGCUAGGUAAGCACUCUAUUAUCUGAACUCUCCGUUCCCCUCGCAACCCUCUGAAGGUGUUACAAAGGAUCCUUCCUCGCAGGGGUUGCCCAAAAUCAUAGGAAAUUUCAUUACGAUUCAUGACUGUAGCAGAAUUACUGUUCUGAAGUUGCAACGGAGUAAUUUUGUGGUUGGGGGUCUCCACAACAUGAGGAACUGUACUAAAAAGUCCCAGCAUUAGGAAAGUUUAGAACUAUUGCUUUAAAACAUGCAUUUCCCAACCAUUUGUGGGUCCUAUCUUGAUGAUGUAGAAAAAUGAAAAUAAAAGUGAAGUCAAUAAAUGUAAAAUAUUUUAUGAUCACAGUCAACAGUCCUAAAAUUGGCUGUUGAAAAAAAUUCCUUAAAAAGAGGGAGGAGGGGAAUAGGGAGUUUGUGGAGAGGAAACUGGGAAGUGGGAUAACAUUUGAAAUGUCAAUAAAUAAAAUAACCAAUAAAAAAUGAAAAAAACAAUCCC